rnacentral:rRNA from 1 species
UACGUAGGGGGGCGAGCGUUGUCCGGAUUUAUUGGGCGUAAAGAGCGUGUAGGCGGCCAGGUAGGUCUGCUGUGAAAACUCGAGGCUCAACCUCGAGACGUCGGCGGAAACCAUCUGGCUAGAGUCCGGAAGAGGAGAGUGGAAUUCCUGGUGUAGCGGUGAAAUGCGUAGAUAUCUGCAGGAACACCCGUGGCGAAAGCGGCGCGUGGACCACUACUGACGCUGAGGAACGAAAAGCUAGGGGGAGCAAACAGG